CUCCAUAGUCCCAUACCUUAUCAAGCUUAUCAUCAUCAACUCAAUUUCGAAACUGGUAGCUAUGGAGUCAUACAAAACCCUAGAAAUCGUACGCAAGAACACUGAUUCCUCUGUAUUUCACCUCAUCCUCAACAGACCAUCACACCUCAACGCCUUAUCCCUCGAUUCCUUCAUCGAACUCCCAAAAGCUCUAUCAUCACUCGACCAAAACCCAGACGUCUCCGUCAUUAUCAUCUCCGGCGCCGGAAAACACUUCUGUUCCGGCAUAGAUCUCACUUCCCUCUCUUCAAUCUCGGCUCAAUCCUCCUCAGGUAACGACAGAGCACGCUCGAGCGAGCUCUUACGGCGUAAGAUCAAGUCGAUGCAAGCUGCGAUAACGGCGAUCGAGAUCUGCCGGAAACCUGUGAUCGCCGCUGUACACGGCGCGUGUAUCGGUGGUGGUGUUGAUCUCGUUACGGCUUGUGAUAUUAGGUAUUGCUCUGAGGAUGCUUUUUUCUCGAUUAAAGAGGUUGAUUUAGCGAUUGUCGCGGAUCUUGGUACGCUUCAGAGGUUGCCGAGUAUUGUUGGGUAUGCGAACGCUAUGGAAUUGGCUUUAACUGCUCGGAGAUUCUCAGGUGGUGAAGCGAAGGAGCUUGGUUUGGUUUCUCGGGUUUUUGGAUCUAAAUCGGAGCUUGAUAAUGGUGUCACCAUGAUUGCUGAAGGAAUAGCAGCAAAGUCUCCACUAGCAGUGACAGGGACAAAGGCAGUGUUAUUAAGGAGCAGAGAGGUGAGUGUAGAACAAGGUCUUGACUACGUAGCAACUUGGAACUCGGCUAUGCUUAUAUCAGAUGAUCUCAAUGAGGCUGUUUCUGCUCAGAUGAUGAAAAGAAAGCCUCGUUUUGCUAAACUGUGAUGAUACAGUCUCUGUUGCUUCUUGUCUUUCAAAGACAGUGUUUAUCGUUCGUCCGGUAACAAAUAUUUAACAAUUGCUCUGUUUAAGCAGCAUCCUGUUAUAAGGCAAGUCUUUCCCAUUAUCAGGUAAGCCUUUGGCCAUGUUGAUGCAUGUGCCAGCUCCUUAAUCUGAUUCUUGCUUUGUUAAUCAGAAACGUCGUAAGUGCGGUAAUAUUCGAUAUAGCCAUGUAUAUACCAACAGUCUGUAACUAGAUGUGAGAUGAAACGGUUCAGCUAACUUGCUCAGAAGUUCAUUGACCGUAUCUUGGUUUCUUAUCUAGAUAUAGAGAAAUAGUACUAGAUUGUGUAUACAAGGCUUCAAGAUGAAUCCAUGCUUUUGUAUCUUCUCGACAACGGCCUCGGCACUGCAAAGUUCUUUGAAGAUGAAACCUUUGCAAGUUUCUCAAAUCUUGUGUACUUGGUUAAUAUAAGCCACUAGAUUUUAAUUUGUAAUUCAUGUUUUUAAAAAUCGAUAGAUUUUGUUGGAGUUUAUUUAAUAAUUA